rnacentral:tRNA from 1 species
AGGCUAAAGCCCGCUGGCUUGGGUGCUUAGUUGUUAACUAAAUUUUUACGGGAUCGAGGCCCGUCGGCCUAGG